rnacentral:rRNA from 1 species
AUACGGGGGGUGCAAGUGUUAAUCGGAAUUACUGGGCGUAAAGCGCGCGUAGGCGGUUUGCUCAGUCGGAUGUGAAAGCCCAGGGCUCAACCUUGGAACUGCAUACGAUACUGGCAAACUAGAGUGUGAGAGAGGAUAGUGGAAUUUCCGGUGUAGCGGUGAAAUGCGUAGAUAUCGGAAGGAACAUCAGUGGCGAAGGCGACUGUCUGGCUCAACACUGACGCUGAGGUGCGAAAGCGUGGGUAGCAAACAGGAUUAGAUACCCUAGUAGUCC